AUUGAACGCUGGCGGCAGGCUUAACACAUGCAAGUCGAGCGGAGAUGAGGUGCUUGCACCUUAUCUUAGCGGCGGACGGGUGAGUAAUGCUUAGGAAUCUGCCUAUUAGUGGGGGACAACAUUCCGAAAGGAAUGCUAAUACCGCAUACGUCCUUCGGGAGAAAGCAGGGGAUCUUCGGACCUUGCGCUAAUAGAUGAGCCUAAGUCGGAUUAGCUAGUUGGUGGGGUAAAGGCCUACCAAGGCGACGAUCUGUAGCGGGUCUGAGAGGAUGGUCCGCCACACUGGGACUGGGACACGGCGCAGACUCCUACGGGAGGUAGCAGUGGGGAAUAUUGGACAAUGGGGUGAACCCUGAUCCAGCCAUGCCGCGUGUGUGAAGAAGGCCUUAUGGUUGUAAAGCACUUUAAGCGAGGAGGAGGCUACUGAGACUAAUACUCUUGGAUAGUGGACGCUACUCGCAGAAUAAGCACCGGCUAACUCUGUGCCAGCCGCCGCUGUAAAAC
rnacentral:rRNA from 1 species